GUGUCAGCAGCCGCGGUAAUACGGAGGGAGCUAGCGUUGUUCGGAAUUACUGGGCGUAAAGCGCGCGUAGGCGGUUAUUCAAGUCAGAGGUGAAAGCCCGGAGCUCAACUCCGGAACGGCCUUUGAAACUAGAUGACUAGAAUCUUGGAGAGGUCAGUGGAAUUCCGAGUGUAGAGGUGAAAUUCGUAGAUAUUCGGAAGAACACCAGUGGCGAAGGCGACUGACUGGACAAGUAUUGACGCUGAGGUGCGAAAGCGUGGGGAGCAAACAGGAUUAGAUACCCCCGUAGUCC
rnacentral:rRNA from 1 species